rnacentral:tRNA from 1 species
GGUGAGAUGGCUCAGAGGUUAAGAGCACUGACUGUUCUUCUGGGGGUCCUGAGUUCAAAUCCCAGCAUCCACG